rnacentral:rRNA from 1 species
CCAAUAGCGUAUAUUACAGUUGUUGCAGUUAAAAAGCUCGUAGUUGAAUUUCGGGAUCAAUUUAUUGGUCGUGCUAUUGUACGUACUGGUAUUAUUGAUUCCUACCUUCUGACGAACCAUGAUGUCAUUAAUUUGGUGUCAUGGGGAAUCAGGACUGUUACUUUGAAAAAAUUAGAGUGUUUAAAGCAGGCUCACGCUUGAAUACAUUAGCAUGGAAUAACGAAAUAGGACGUUUGAUUCUAUUUUGUUGGUUUCUAGGAUCGACGUAAUGAUUAAGAGGGAUAGUUGGGGGCAUUAGUAUUCAAUUGUCAGAGGUGAAAUUCUUGGAUUUAUUGAAGACUAACUACUGCGAAAGCAUUUGCCAAGGAUGUUUUCAUUAAUCAAGAACGAAAGUUAGGGGAUCGAAGACGAUCAGAUACCGUCGUAGUCUUAACCAUAAACUAUGCCGACUAGGGGUCGGAUGAUGUUAAUUUUUUAAUGACUCAUUCGGCGCCUUACG